GCAGUCGUAACCGUCACGUGACCGCCCACCGUCGGCCCGGCGCUCCCCUCCGCCCGAAGCUAGCUAGCCGCGCGGCCAAUGAGAAAGGCGCAUGCCUGGCCCCCGCCGGCCUGCAGUCUAGCCGUAGUGCGCCUGCGCGCGGCUAGGAGGGGCCGUCAGGCGGGGGUACAGCCUGGAAGGCUGGAGCGACCGUGUCUGGGGAGCCGAGCCCCCCUUCUCGCUGCGGUGAGCCCGGACUGGGGCACGCACUGCGCAGACUCCCCGCUGCAGUGGGCGGAGCUCCCACAGGCCCCGCCCCCUCCUCCCACCCUCGUUCAGCCUGUCCAGACAGAAGCUGGGGCCCAGCGGAGGUAGCAGCAGACGCCUGAGAGCGAGGCCGAGGCCCCUCAGGGUUUGGAGACCCUGACACACCCACCUUCUCACCUGGGCUCUGCGUAU
rnacentral:sRNA from 1 species